rnacentral:rRNA from 1 species
CCGGCACGGGUGAGUAACACGUAUCCAACCUGCCGUCUACUCUUGGACAGCCUUCUGAAAGGAAGAUUAAUACAAGAUGGCAUCGUGAGUCCGCAUGUCCACAUGAUUAAAGGUAUUCCGGUAGACGAUGGGGAUGCGUUCCAUUAGAUAGUAGGCGGGGUAACGGCCCACCUAGUCUUCGAUGGAUAGGGGUUCUGAGAGGAAGGUCCCCCACAUUGGAACUGAGACACGGUCCAA